rnacentral:misc_RNA from 1 species
AACACUGUUAACCUGCGGUACCUGCGGAAGGAUCAUUACAAGUGACCCCGGUCUAACCACCGGGAUGUUCAUAACCCUUUGUUGUCCGACUCUGUUGCCUCCGGGGCGACCCUGCCUUCGGGCGGGGGCUCCGGGUGGACACUUCAAACUCUUGCGUAACUUUGCAGUCUGAGUAAACUUAAUUAAUAAAUUAAAACUUUCAACAACGGAUCU